UACGUAGGUGGCAAGCGUUGUCCGGAUUUAUUGGGUUUAAAGGGUGCGUAGGCGGCCUUGUAAGUCAGUGCUGAAAUAUUCCGGCUUAACCGGGAGGGUGGCAUUGAUACUGUGAGGCUAGAGUACAGAUGAGGUAGGCGGAAUUGACGGUGUAGCGGUGAAAUGCUUAGAUAUCGUCAAGAACACCUAUAGCGAAGGCAGCUUACUAGGCUGUAACUGACGCUGAGGCACGAAAGCGUGGGGAGCGAACAGG
rnacentral:rRNA from 1 species